UACAGAGGUCCCAAGCGUUGUUCGGAUUCACUGGGCGUAAAGGGUGCGCAGGUGGGUUUGCAAGUUCGAUGUGAAAGCCCCGGGCUUAACCCGGGAAUGGCAUUGGAUACUGCAGAUCUGGAGGAUCGGAGGGGGGACUGGAAUUCUUGGUGUAGCAGUGAAAUGCGCAGAUAUCAGGAGGAACACCGAUGGCGAAGGCGGGUCUCUGGGCAGUAACUGACGCUGAGGAGCGAAAGCGUGGGGAGCGAACAGG
rnacentral:rRNA from 1 species